GUGUAGCUUAAUUGGUAGAACGCUUGCUUAGUACGAACAAUGUACGGGGAUCGAUUCCCCGCAUCGCCU